rnacentral:rRNA from 1 species
UGGGGAAUAUUGGACAAUGGGCGCAAGCCUGAUCCAGCCAUGCCGCGUGAGUGAUGAAGGCCCUAGGGUUGUAAAGCUCUUUCACCGGUGAAGAUAAUGACGGUAACCGGAGAAGAAGCCCCGGCUAACUUCGUGCCAGCAGCCGCGGUAAUACGAAGGGGGCUAGCGUUGUUCGGAUUUACUGGGCGUAAAGCGCACGUAGGCGGACUAUUAAGUCAGGGGUGAAAUCCCGGGGCUCAACCCCGGAACUGCCUUUGAUACUGGUAGUCUUGAGUGCGAGAGAGGUGGGUGGAAUUCCGAGUGUAGAGGUGAAAUUCGUAGAUAUUCGGAAGAACACCAGUGGCGAAGGCGGCUCACUGGCUCGAUACUGACGCUGAGGUGCGAAAGCGUGGGGAGCAAACAGG